CUGAAACAUCACUUCUCAUAUGAUCAUCGAAGUUAAGCAAUGUCGAGCCUUGUCAGUACCUACAUGGGUGACUGCUUGGGAAUACGAUAUGCUGCAA